rnacentral:rRNA from 1 species
UACGAAGGGGGCUAGCGUUAAUCGGAAUUACUGGGCGUAAAGCGUGCGCAGGCGGUUCGUUAAGUUCGAUGUGAAAGCCCCGGGCUCAACCUGGGAACUGCAUUGGAAACUGGCGAGCUUGAGUGCGGCAGAGGGGGGUGGAAUUCCGCGUGUAGCAGUGAAAUGCGUAGAGAUGCGGAGGAACACCGAUGGCGAAGGCAGCCCCCUGGGCCGACACUGACGCUCAGGCACGAAAGCGUGGGGAGCAAACAGG